AGUGGUGGGUAUGGUCGGGGUGGGGAAGCGGGGGGCCGGCUCGAGCUUUCAGUCACUGUACGUGUACAGACAGGAGGAGGAGGAUGAGGAGGAGGAGAGGAGGGGGGUCGGUGAACAGGCUGCCUGACGUCACGAGGGCUUCUUAUCUAUAACUACCCACCCAGUCCUGCCAUAGGCCGGAUUGCGAGCCGGGAGUGGCUUUCCCAGCUGUCAAUAUAACGCUGAAGUCAUUUGCAUGACAGCACAGGAGCGCCAGCUCCUCCAUUCUUUCCCAAUAGUGUCGGUGAGUCUCGAGCUCGAUAAUCUAUAGCUUUCUCCCUGACUGACUACUUCUCUCAGGCUUUCGUUCCCGCCCACUUUUUUUUCUCUCCCUCACUCUCUCUCUUUCUCUCGUUCACCUCCACUACCCUGUACCUUGUGGAGUUAGUGGCGGAGUGGGUAGAAGUGGCGAACUUCGCACAGUCUUCAUAUUUCUCUUCAAGAAAUAGUUUGCCGGUAUAUGUGGUUUUUUUUUUUAAACGUGCUUUCUUUCUAUCGAGUGGGUGUAAAUGGACACGGUAAUGCAUCGUCACUUCCACCCUCGACCGGAGGUCAGAAGUCACCGCACAUGCGCCUCAAGACUGACCAUAUCGAGCCCGGCGCAUCAGACGAGAGCGGCGACGAAAGAUAAUACAAGUAGAUUGACCCACAACCAAUGAAACAGUUUCGAAGAUAAACUAUUCUGGUCUUGUCCACCUUGUGAAACCACGAAAAAAUGUCUUGAUCAUUUUCUAAAGUGCAGCUGUUGCAGGAUUACCAGGAGAUUAGCUUCGUGGAAGCUCUGGACUUCGAGGGCUUUGGGACGCAGCAAUGGAGGAAAAUUACGACGUGAAACGAACGCACACUGAGAGUUCGAUGUGAGCGAGGACGAGUCACACACCCUGUGUACCCGAGGUGUUGCAGAGAAUAAAGAGCGAUCAGGGUAGCUCACCACAUGUCAA